rfam:Siansivirga zeaxanthinifaciens CC-SAMT-1, complete genome.
CAACAAAAAAUUAAGACACAUUGAAAACAAUUUUAAAUAAUACUUGGUGGUGGAGCUUUUCAAACUUACGUUCGUGAAGUAAACCUUGUAUAUUUAAAAAUUAAAAUAUCAUAAAAAGGCUUGUC